rnacentral:rRNA from 1 species
UACGUACAAGCAGUGGGAGCCUCUUAAUGGGGUGACUGCGUACCUUUUGUAUAAUGGGUCAGCGACUUAUAUUCUGUAGCAAGGUUAACCGAAUAGGGGAGCCGAAGGGAAACCGAGUCUUAACUGGGCGUUAAGUUGCAGGGUAUAGACCCGAAACCCGGUGAUCUAGCCAUGGGCAGGUUGAAGGUUGGGUAACACUAACUGGAGGACCGAACCGACUAAUGUUGAAAAAUUAGCGGAUGACUUGUGGCUGGGGGUGAAAGGCCAAUCAAACCGGGAGAUAGCUGGUUCUCCCCGAAAGCUAUUUAGGUAGCGCCUCGUGAAUUCAUCUCCGGGGGUAGAGCACUGUUUCGGCAAGGGGGUCAUCCCGACUUACCAACCCGAUGCAAACUGCGAAUACCGGAGAAUGUUAUCACGGGAGACACACGGCGGGUGCUAACGUCCGUCGUGAAGAGGGAAACAACCCAGACCGCCAGCUAAGGUCCCAAAGUCAUGGUUAAGUGGGAAACGAUGUGGGAAGGCCCAGACAGCCAGGAUGUUGGCUUAGAAGCAGCCAUCAUUUAAAGAAAGCGUAAUAGCUCACUGGUCGAGUCGGCCUGCGCGGAAGAUGUAACGGGGCUAAACCAUG